AGUGAACGCUGGCGGUAGGCCUAACACAUGCAAGUCGAACGGCAGCACAGUAAGAGCUUGCUCUUACGGGUGGCGAGUGGCGGACGGGUGGGGAAUACAUCGGAAUCUACUUUUUCGUGGGGGCUAACGUAGGGAAACUUACGCUAAUACCGCAUCCGACCUCCGGGUGAGAGCAGGGGAUCUUCGGCGCUUGCGCGAUUGCAUGCGCCGUUGUCGGUUUAGGUAGUGGGCGGGGUAAAGGCCGACCGAGGCGGCGAUCCGUUGCUGGUGUGAGAGGGGGAUGCGGCACACGGGGAGUGAGACACGGUCCUGAGUCUGAGGGGAGGCAGCAGUGGGGAAUAGUGGACAAUGGGGGGAAGCCUGAUCCAGCCAUACCGCGUGGGUGAAGAAGGCCUUCGGGUUGUAAAGCCGUUUUGUUGGGAAAGAAAAGCAGCAGGUUAAUACCCCGCUGUUGUGACGGUACCGAAAGAAUAAGCACCGGCUAACUUCGUG
rnacentral:rRNA from 1 species